rnacentral:rRNA from 1 species
UACGUAGGGCGCAAGCGUUGUCCGGAAUUAUUGGGCGUAAAGAGCUCGUAGGCGGCCUGUUGCGUCCGCUGUGAAAUCCCGGGGCUCAACCCCGGGCCUGCAGUGGAUACGGGCUGGCUAGAGGCAGGCAGGGGAGAACGGAAUUCCUGGUGUAGCGGUGAAAUGCGCAGAUAUCAGGAGGAACACCGGUGGCGAAGGCGGUCUCUGGGCCUGUACUGACGCUGAGGAGCGAAAGCGUGGGGAGCGAACAGG